rnacentral:lncRNA from 10 species
CAAGGACUGUAGACCCAAAUGCAGCAGCCACACGUAUUUUCCUGUCAUGAAGAUUUUCUUUAAUAAAGCUGCAAGUUUUGGGGAAAGUAUGUGUGAUGACUGGGAACUGAUUCCCGAAGGCUAGCUGCAAACCACGACUGGGAAAGAAGCAGGAUGGGCCCAGACUUUGCGGUGGCUGCUGUCCACCAGAACAUUCAGGUUCAGAAGGGUCGUGGGGGUCCCCGAGCCUGCUGAAAGAUGAGGCCCAGUCCUGGCUCCACUCAACUUACCGCACCCAUGCUUCAUUGCUCCUCAAAGCACUCACGACUCUGAUAUUUUGCUUCUAUAUUUGCUUCUUAUUUGUCUCCCAUCACUAGGAUGAAAUCUUCCAGAGAGCAAUGGUUUUCUCUGUCUUAUUCACUGUUGUAAAUAGUGCCUGGCACAUAGUAGGCACUGAAUAAAUAUUUGUUGAAUCAAUGCA